rnacentral:misc_RNA from 1 species
AACCUAGCACACCUGCGGUGUGUACCUGCGGAGGGAUCAUUACAAGUGACCCCGGUUUACCACCGGGAUGUUCAUAACCCUUUGUUGUCCGACUCUGUUGCCUCCGGGGCGACCCUGCCUUCGGGCGGGGGCUCCGGGUGGACACUUCAAACUCUUGCGUAACUUUGCAGUCUGAGUAAACUUAAUUAAUAAAUUAAAACUUUUAACAACGGAUCU